rnacentral:rRNA from 1 species
CUGGCGGCGUGCCUAAUACAUGCAAGUCGAACGGUCUUUCUAUGGAAGCUUGCUUCCACUGAGAAGAUAGUGGCGAACGGGUGAGUAACACGUGGGUAACCUGCCCAUAAGAGGGGGAUAACAUCCGGAAACGGGUGCUAAUACCGCAUAGUUUUCUUGAUCGCAUGAUCGGGAAAGGAAAGACGGCCUUUGUGCUGUCGCUUAUGGAUGGACCCGCGGCGUAUUAGUUAGUUGGUGAGGUAACGGCUCACCAAGACGAUGAUACGUAGCCGACCUGAGAGGGUGAUCGGCCACAUUGGGACUGAGACACGGCCCAAACUCCUACGGGAGGCAGCAGUAGGGAAUCUUCCGCAAUGGACGAAAGUCUGACGGAGCAACGCCGCGUGAGUGAAGAAAGGUUUUCGGAUCGUAAAACUCUGUUGUCAGAGAAGAACAAGUUGGAGAGUAACUGCUCCAGCCUUGACGGUAUCUGACCAGAAAGCCACGGCUAACUACGUGCCAGCCGCUGC